rnacentral:rRNA from 1 species
AUCGCCGACAAGACCGCAUAGGCUCUCGCAAGAGAGCAAAGCUGCUGACGCAAGUCAGUGGCGCCAGAGGAUGGGCCUGCGGCCGAUUAGCUAGUUGGUGGGGUAACGGCUCACCAAGGCGACGAUCGGUAGCUGGUCUGAGAGGACGAUCAGCCACACUGGGAUUGAGAACGGCCCAGACUCCUACGGGGGGCAGCAGUGAGGAAUUUUCCGCAAUGGACGCAAGUCUGACGGAGCAACGCCGCGUGCAGGACGACGCGUUUCGGCGUGUAAACUGCUUUUCUGGGGGAAGAGACCGGACGGUACCCCAGGAAGAAGCCCCGGCUAACUACGUGCCAGCAGCCGCGGUAAUACGUAGGGGGCGAGCGUUGUCCGGAGUUACUGGGCGUAAAGGGCACGCAGGCGGUGCGGCGCGUGUCGCGUGACAGCGGGUGGCUUAACUACCCGAGGGUGCGACAGACGGCCG